rnacentral:rRNA from 1 species
AUUGAACGCUAGCGGGAUGCUUUACACAUGCAAGUCGAACGGCAGCGCGGACUUCGGUCUGGCGGCGAGUGGCGAACGGGUGAGUAAUUUAUCGGAACGUGCCCAGUAGCGGGGGCUAACUACGCGAAAGCGUAGCUAAUACCGCAUACGCCCUACGGGGGAAAGCCGGGGCUCGUAAGACCUUUCCCUAUUUGAGCGGUCGAUAUCGGAUUAGCUAGUUGGUGAGGUAACGGCUCACCAAGGCGACGAUCCGUAGCUGGUUUGAGAGGACGACCAGCCACACUGGGACUGAGACACGGCCCAGACUCCUACGGGAGGCAGCAGUGGGGAAUUUUGGACAAUGGGGGCAACCCUGAUCCAGCAAUCCCGCGUGUGCGAUGAAGGCCUUCGGGUUGUAAAGCACUUUUGGCAGGAAAGAAACGUCGCGGGCUAAUACCCCGUGGAACUGACGGUACCUGCAGAAUAAGCACCGGCUAACUACGUG